rnacentral:rRNA from 1 species
UACAGAGGUCUCAAGCGUUGUUCGGAUUCAUUGGGCGUAAAGGGUGCGUAGGUGGCGAGGUAAGUCGGAUGUGAAAUCCCGGGGCUCAACCCUGGAACUGCAUUCGAUACUGCCUGGCUAGAGUACUGGAGAGGAGAUUGGAAUUUACGGUGUAGCAGUGAAAUGCGUAGAUAUCGUAAGGAAGACCAGUGGCGAAGGCGGAUCUCUGGACAGUUACUGACACUGAGGCACGAAGGCCAGGGGAGCAAACGGG